rnacentral:rRNA from 1 species
UUAAGUUAUUAAGGGCGCACGGUGGAUGCCUUGGCACUAGAAGCCGAUGAAGGACGUUACUAACGACGAUAUGCUUUGGGGAGCUGUAAGUAAGCUUUGAUCCAGAGAUUUCCGAAUGGGGAAACCCAGCAUGAGUUAUGUCAUGUUAUCUAUAUGUGAAUACAUAGCAUAUCAGAAGGCACACCCGGAGAACUGAAACAUCUUAGUACCCGGAGGAAGAGAAAGAAAAUUCGAUUCCCUUAGUAGCGGCGAGCGAAACGGGAAGAGCCCAAACCAACAAGCUUGCUUGUUGGGGUUGUAGGACACUCUAUACGGAGUUACAAAGGACGACAUUAGACGAAUCAUCUGGAAAGAUGAAUCAAAGAAGGUAAUAAUCCUGUAGUCGAAAAUGUUGUCUCUCUUGAGUGGAUCCUGAGUACGACGGAGCACGUGAAAUUCCGUCGGAAUCUGGGAGGACCAUCUCCUAAGGCUAAAUACUCUCUAGUGACCGAUAGUGAACCAGUACCGUGAGGGAAAGGUGAAAAGCACCCCGGAAGGGGAGUGAAAUAGAACCUGAAACCGUGUGCUUACAAGUAGUCAGAGCCCGUUAAUGGGUGAUGGCGUGCCUUUUGUAGAAUGAACCGGCGAGUUACGAUUUGAUGCAAGGUUAAGCAGUAAAUGUGGAGCCGUAGCGAAAGCGAGUCUGAAUAGGGCGUUUAGUAUUUGGUCGUAGACCCGAAACCAGGUGAUCUACCCUUGGUCAGGUUGAAGUUCAGGUAACACUGAAUGGAGGACCGAACCGACUUACGUUGAAAAGUGAGCGGAUGAACUGAGGGUAGCGGAGAAAUUCCAAUCGAACCUGGAGAUAGCUGGUUCUCUCCGAAAUAGCUUUAGGGCUAGCCUCAAGUGAUGAUUAUUGGAGGUAGAGCACUGUUUGGACGAGGGGCCCCUCUCGGGUUACCGAAUUCAGACAAACUCCGAAUGCCAAUUAAUUUAACUUGGGAGUCAGAACAUGGGUGAUAAGGUCCGUGUUCGAAAGGGAAACAGCCCAGACCACCAGCUAAGGUCCCAAAAUAUAUGUUAAGUGGAAAAGGAUGUGGCGUUGCCCAGACAACUAGGAUGUUGGCUUAGAAGCAGCCAUCAUUUAAAGAGUGCGUAAUAGCUCACUAGUCGAGUGACACUGCGCCGAAAAUGUACCGGGGCUAAACAUAUUACCGAAGCUGUGGAUUGUCCUUUGGACAAUGGUAGGAGAGCGUUCUAAGGGCGUUGAAGCAUGAUCGUAAGGACAUGUGGAGCGCUUAGAAGUGAGAAUGCCGGUGUGAGUAGCGAAAGACGGGUGAGAAUCCCGUCCACCGAUUGACUAAGGUUUCCAGAGGAAGGCUCGUCCGCUCUGGGUUAGUCGGGUCCUAAGCUGAGGCCGACAGGCGUAGGCGAUGGAUAACAGGUUGAUAUUCCUGUACCACCUAUAAUCGUUUUAAUCGAUGGGGGGACGCAGUAGGAUAGGCGAAGCGUGCGAUUGGAUUGCACGUCUAAGCAGUAAGGCUGAGUAUUAGGCAAAUCCGGUACUCGUUAAGGCUGAGCUGUGAUGGGGAGAAGACAUUGAGUCUUCGAGUCGUUGAUUUCACACUGCCGAGAAAAGCCUCUAGAUAGAAAAUAGGUGCCCGUACCGCAAACCGACACAGGUAGUCAAGAUGAGAAUUCUAAGGUGAGCGAGCGAACUCUCGUUAAGGAACUCGGCAAAAUGACCCCGUAACUUCGGGAGAAGGGGUGCUCUUUAGGGUUAACGCCCAGAAGAGCCGCAGUGAAUAGGCCCAAGCGACUGUUUAUCAAAAACACAGGUCUCUGCUAAACCGUAAGGUGAUGUAUAGGGGCUGACGCCUGCCCGGUGCUGGAAGGUUAAGAGGAGUGGUUAGCUUCUGCGAAGCUACGAAUCGAAGCCCCAGUAAACGGCGGCCGUAACUAUAACGGUCCUAAGGUAGCGAAAUUCCUUGUCGGGUAAGUUCCGACCCGCACGAAAGGCGUAACGAUUUGGGCACUGUCUCAACGAGAGACUCGGUGAAAUCAUAGUACCUGUGAAGAUGCAGGUUACCCGCGACAGGACGGAAAGACCCCGUGGAGCUUUACUGUAGCCUGAUAUUGAAAUUCGGCACAGCUUGUACAGGAUAGGUAGGAGCCUUUGAAACGUGAGCGCUAGCUUACGUGGAGGCGCUGGUGGGAUACUACCCUAGCUGUGUUGGCUUUCUAACCCGCACCACUUAUCGUGGUGGGAGACAGUGUCAGGCGGGCAGUUUGACUGGGGCGGUCGCCUCCUAAAAGGUAACGGAGGCGCUCAAAGGUUCCCUCAGAAUGGUUGGAAAUCAUUCAUAGAGUGUAAAGGCAUAAGGGAGCUUGACUGCGAGACCUACAAGUCGAGCAGGGUCGAAAGACGGACUUAGUGAUCCGGUGGUUCCGCAUGGAAGGGCCAUCGCUCAACGGAUAAAAGCUACCCCGGGGAUAACAGGCUUAUCUCCCCCAAGAGUUCACAUCGACGGGGAGGUUUGGCACCUCGAUGUCGGCUCAUCGCAUCCUGGGGCUGUAGUCGGUCCCAAGGGUUGGGCUGUUCGCCCAUUAAAGCGGUACGCGAGCUGGGUUCAGAACGUCGUGAGACAGUUCGGUCCCUAUCCGUCGUGGGCGUAGGAAAUUUGAGAGGAGCUGUCCUUAGUACGAGAGGACCGGGAUGGACAUACCUCUGGUGUACCAGUUGUCGUGCCAACGGCAUAGCUGGGUAGCUAUGUGUGGACGGGAUAAGUGCUGAAAGCAUCUAAGCAUGAAGCCCCCCUCAAGAUGAGAUUUCCCAACUUCGGUUAUAAGAUCCCUCAAAGAUGAUGAGGUUAAUAGGUUCGAGGUGGAAGCAUGGUGACAUGUGGAGCUGACGAAUACUAAUCGAUCGAAGACUUAAUCAA